rnacentral:snRNA from 1 species
GUUUCUUUGGAGACAUCCGAUAAAAUUGCAACGAUAAGAGAAGAUUAGCAGCCCCCUGCGCAAGAUCAGCUGUGAAAUUGAGGAUUAUAUGUUG